GACAAGACGGCUUCAAGGCCUGGUACAAACGCGUCGGUUCUAUAGUCACUUCGGUACAUCAGUAAAAGACAGUUCGAUACAGGCUCUAAAGUGCUUUCGAUGCAUCGGGCGGACUUUGAAAGUCAUGCUCCUGCUCUCGGGCAUCCAGCCCGAGGAUAAGAGCCUGGGCUGGCAUAAGGCCAGUGGAACCAUCUAUAAGGAACAAGGAACCAUCUGUAAGGAAUAUUUUACCCCUCACAACGAAGAGUGUCGUGGUAGAAAGGUGGAUUAGCCUGACAUUAUAAACUGGUUCAUUACAGCACCUGGUGCAAGAUGGCUACCCACUCGUUGAGUUUUCUGAUAGGAAACUGCUACAAGGUGGAAAUAACAAGAAAAACAAAGAAUGGAGACUUAGUUAAUGAUUAAAAAAAAACUCGAAGACGACGCGAGGAGAUGAUAAGAUUUUUAUAGAACUUAUCAAAAACAAGAGCCUUUUCAAAUUCCUAGUGGAAAUUAUCUAAGAAUAUCAGUACCCAGGAGAAAUCUAUUUAAAGAUAAGUGACUGGAAAUUGUGCUAAAUAAUGUAGAAAAACUAAAGUAAAAUAUCUCCUUUGAGCAGUGGGAAUGACACAACACAAACGUAUCGGAGGACCCAAACCUAUACUUGGACGAGAACUGUGAUAAGUGGAGAUUUGUGGAAGUGAAAGGAUAGUGAACACACACACACAACAGAUUUUCAGAAAAGCCACCUGGCGUUGGAGGCUGUCAUGAUAUUGAUGUUUGGGGCAUCCAUGGGGUCCUUCCUCGAUGCUAGGGGUAGGGGUAGGGGUAGCUUGGAAUAAAGCCAGUCGCUACUAGAUGGAGUGUGAAGAAACCAUAGGUUUCAGCAGCCUUCAACAGUUUUUUACCUUCAGCAACAACAGACCUGAUUAAUGUGAGUGUAGAAAGUAUUCAGUGUGAAAUAUUAUCAUGGUUUCUCUAGAGAUUGUAUUCUUGCAGGAUAUAGUAUUUUUUAUUGUUAUUUUAUUCCUAGAUCAAUGCAUUUGAUAGUAGUGGCCAGAGACUCAGGAACAUAGAGCAAACUCUCUGAGUGGUAGCGCUAAACGAAGGGAGAAUUUCUUGUAAAGCGUAAGUUUUAAGUAGCUUGAGAGGUUGGCAUUACAAUAAUAAUAAUAAUAAUAACAAUAAUAAUAGCGGAGUAGAUAUACCCUCUCUGAACCAAGUCUUGUUAAAUAGCAUGGCUGCAUCAUAUGAGUUAAUUUUGAAUAGUGUCUUUUCAGUCUUCCUUAUAAUUCUUCCCAUGGCAAUUGUACAUAUUGGCACUAAAGCUACUCUUACAUGUGACAAUACAAUAUAUUGGUAGUAUUAGAACAACGAAUCUAUAACAUUCUGGAAAAGUUUUUACCUUAUUUGUAAACUUGA